rnacentral:rRNA from 1 species
UACGAAGGGUGCAAACGUUGCUCGGAAUCAUUGGGCGUAAAGCGCACGUAGGCGGCGCUGUAAGUCAGGUGUGAAAUCUCCACGCUCAACGUGGAGGCGCCACCUGAAACUGCCGUGACUCGAGUCCGGUAGGGGAGUGUGGAAUUCCUGGUGUAGCGGUGAAAUGCGCAGAUAUCAGGAGGAACACCAGUGGCGAAGGCGGCACUCUGGGCCGGUACUGACGCUGAGGAGCGAAAGCGUGGGGAGCGAACAGG